rnacentral:rRNA from 1 species
GUGUGAGUGUUCAAGAGCGCAUGGUGGAUGCCUUGGCAUCAGGAGCCGAUGAAGGACGUUGUAACCUGCGAUAAGCCUCGGGGAGUUGGUAAACGAACGGUGAUCCGAGGGUGUCCGAAUGGGGGAACCCCGCGACAUGUCAUGUGUCGUGACCCGCAUCUGAAUAUAUAGGGUGUGUGGGGGGAACGUGGGGAAGUGAAACAUCUCAGUACCCACAGGAAGAGAAAAUAAGAAUGAUUCCGUGAGUAGUGGCGAGCGAAAGCGGAAGAGCCUAAACCGUGUGUGUGUCAAGCGUGCAGGUGUUGCAUGUGCGGUGUUGUGGGGCUAUCCGUCUGAGGGCUGCAUUCCUUGGGCAUGGCUGUUGUGUGCGUAGUCGAACAGGUUGGGAAGCCUGACCGGAGUGGGUGAGAGUCCCGUAGACGAAACGUGUGCUGGUUGUGUGUGAUGGUUCCCGAGUAGGACGGGACUCGUGUAAUCCCGUGUGAAUCUGCCAGGACCACCUGGUAAGGCUAAAUACUCCCUGAUGACCGAUAGCGGAUAGUACCGUGAGGGAAUGGUGAAAAGUACCCCGGGAGGGGAGUGAAAUAGUACCUGAAACCAUGCGCUUACAAGCCGUCAGAGCCUUUCGGGGUGAUGGCGUGCCUUUUGAAGAAUGAGCCUGCGAGUUAGCGGUGCGUGGCGAGGUUAACCCUGGUGGGGUAGCCGUAGCGAAAGCGAGUCCGAAGAGGGCGUCCCAGUCGCGUGUCCUAGACCCGAAGCGGAGUGAUCUAGCCAUGGGCAGGGUGAAGCACGUGUAAGAGCGUGUGGAGGCCCGCACCCACUUCAGUUGAAAAUGGAGGGGAUGACCUGUGGUUAGGGGUGAAAGGCCAAUCAAACUCUGUGAUAGCUGGUUCUCCCCGAAAUGCAUUUAGGUGCAGCGUUGCGUGUUGCUUGCCGGAGGUAGAGCUACUGGAUGGCUGAUGGGCCCCACCGGGUUACUGACGUCAACCAAACUCCGAAUGCCGGUAAGUGUAAAAGCAGCCACCCUUGAAAGAGUGCGUAAUAGCUCACUGGUCAAGUGAUUCCGCGCCGAUAAUGUAGCGGGGCUUAAGUACACCGCCGAAGUUGUGGCAAUACCACGUGUGAUGAGCCGCCGGCAUGUCCGGUUGGUUGAGUUGUGGUAUUGGGUAGGGGAGCGUCGUGUGGCCGGAGAAGCUGCGGAGUGAUCCAGUGGUGGAGGCUAUACGAGUGAGAAUGCAGGCAUGAGUAGCGAAAGACGGGUGAGAAACCCGUCCGCCGGAUGACCAAGGGUUCCAGGGCUAGGCUAAUCCGCCCUGGGUAAGUCGGGACCUAAGGCGAGGCCGACAGGCGUAGUCGAUGGACAACGGGUUGAUAUUCCCGUACCGGCGAAGAACCGCCAAUACCGAGGCAUGUGAUACUAACCAGCCGAGA